rnacentral:rRNA from 1 species
UACGUAGGGUGCAAGCGUUAAUCGGAAUUACUGGGCGUAAAGCGUGCGCAGGCGGUUUUGUAAGUCAGAUGUGAAAUCCCCGGGCUUAACCUGGGAACUGCGCUUGAAACUACAAGGCUAGAGUGUGGCAGAGGGGGGGUGGAAUUCCACGUGUAGCAGUGAAAUGCGUAGAGAUGUGGAGGAACACCGAUGGCGAAGGCAGCCCCCUGGGUUAACACCUGGACGCUCAGGCA